GGCUUCGUGCUCGAAAGAGAGCCGUAACACAGGUGCUGCAUGGCUGUCGUCAGCUCGUGUCGUGAGAUGUUGGGUUAAGUCCCGCAACGAGCGCAUCCCUUGCCAUUAGUUGCUACGAAAGGGCACUCUAAUGGGACUGCCGGUGACAAACCGGAGGAAGGUGGGGAUGACGUCAAGUCCUCAUGGCCCUUAUAGGUGGGGCUACACACGUCAUACAAUGGCCGGUACAAAGGGCAGCCAACCCGCGAGGGGGAGCCAAUCCCAUAAAGCCGGUCGUAGUCCGGAUCGCAGUCUGCAACUCGACUGCGUGAAGUCGGAAUCGCUAGUAAUCGUGGAUCAGCAUGUCACGGUGAAUACGUUCCCGGGUCUUGAACACACCGCCCGUCACACCAUGGGAGCGGGUCUCGCCAGAAGUAGGUAGCCUAACCGCAAGGAGGGCGCUUACCACGGCGGGGUUCGCGACUGGGGUGAAGUCGUAACAAGGUAGCCGUAUCGGAAGG
rnacentral:rRNA from 1 species